GAUAACGCUUCUUCGUCUUCUUGAUCUUGAUUGUGAUGAGAGAUCAAAAGGACUUUCUCCUCUUCCGUACAUGUCCUCAUUUUCGAAGCUUCUGAGUUUUCCGACAAGAGAGAGAGAGAGAGGUAAGGUUUUGAAUUAAAAACAUAACGAAAAGAGUGGGCGACAAAUUUGAAUAUAAGAACCGUCUCUUAACUUUUAACUUAAAAAAAGUUAAGAACCGGCUCUAAAAACUCUUAUUUAAGAACCGAUUCUUAGGGUUUUUAGUUAAAAAUUAAAAGACGGGUUCUUUUAUUCCGUUAACAACCCCACCCUAAGAACCCCUCAAUAAUAUGCUCUUAAAAAGACAAAAGGAAGGUUUACGUUGAAAAAGUCAAAAUGAGUUGGAUCUUUAUUCUUUAUUUUUUAACUAUCUAUAUACGUGGAAGCCUCCUUGUUCCAAUAGUUUGACUAAGAGUUCAUUAAUGCUUCUACAUCAGUAGGGCCAGGUUUCAAUUUCUGAAAAAAUCGAUUUAUUAAACAAUUAUGCAGGCUACCGAAGAAAUGCUUACAAGAGAUCUUCAAUACGGUACAAGUAAACUCAGUCAGACGUGAUCUUCGUAAGACAGCUCAGGUGAUGCAGUUAGACGUAGAUCCUUAUAA
rnacentral:lncRNA from 1 species